ACCAUUCGGUAGAAAAUCAUUUACAGCGACUUCCUUGUUCUCAUUCUUCUUGUCUGUUAAUUUUUUUGUUAAAGGUAACCGCAAAAUCAAUGGUUUAUUUAUUUACUAAUGAAGAAGAAAAUUAAGAUUUAAAUAUUGAAGAAAUAAAGGAUACAAUCUUCAAAGAAUCGCCGGAUUUCUGAGAGACGAUGAGGUGGAAGUUCUUUGAUGUCAGUGUAAUGCUUAUACUCAGGAUCAUCAACACAAACCGCAAUGAUCUUGUCAUCUUUUUCUCCCUUUAUUACAAGACAAUUACUCAGAAUGCUUACACAACUUGUAACCAAAAGGAUCAACCAGAGAUUUGAAAUGUUACCUGAUCAAUCAUAGGCAUUAAUCCGAUAGCUCGUGCGCGCAGGAAACAACCUGGAAGCACAGGCUCCUGAACAGAAAGAACUUUCUUUAAUAUAUGGAUUUGGUUUUGUUUUGUUAGUAUGUUGAAGUUGAAGAUAAGACUUAAAACCUGCAUGAUGACUAACACAUCUAAAGGGUCAUUGUCUUCACAUAAUGUGCGGGGGAUAAAACCGUAGUUAUGAGGAUACACGACCGAUGAAUAUAGGAUCCGAUCAACCUGAGAGACAAAUCAAGUUUGUUAAGGAAAGCAGCCCAAGUCCAUUAUUAGCCCAUGUGUUUAGGGUUUUGUGGUCUCAUAUAUAUACAUGCUUGUAGCUUCCAUAUCUUGGAACUUUGGCUGUCAUGGUUGCAGCCACAUCAAAAACAUCUUUUAUGAUAUCAAUCCAUCUUCUUAGCUCUUGGUGACAAUCUAAAGUUUUUCCCUUUCUUACUCUUUAUAUUUCAAUAAAGCUCAUUGAGCUAUCUCUAGUUUAUGUUUCAAUAAAGUCCUUUGGACACAAAUCUAUCUUGUUCUACAAAUGUUCUCAAAGUUGUUAGAGAGUUUUCAUUUCCCUGAAAUAAUAUUAGAUCAUUUUUUUCUCUAGUUUUUUUGUGAACAUUUUUUUUUUAAACUCUUAAACCGUUUAUAUUAGGAAACAGAAAGAGUACUACUUGUUAACAGCAGAUACUAGCGGAAAUGGCUAUUAUGUGGAUAUAAAGUAACCGCUAGCCAGGCAAAAUAUUACAAAUGACUAGGUUAUUUUUACCUUGAUGAGUCCUGUCUUUUUGUCAAGUUCAUAUUUGACCUUGCUACCUUUUGAGAUCUCAAUAACCUAAAUUUAAUUCAAAUAUCCAAAUGAUUCAAUAUCAGAUUCUGUUUUGUGAUCUUAACAUCAUUUCAGAUUAAUAUCACAUCAUCAAGCAUAAGACUUACCACAUUGAAGAUCGACGGAGCUCCAGGUCCUGCAUACAAAUUUCGUUUUUCUCAAGAAUAUUAUAGUUAAAAAAGACUUCAAAAUCAUUACCUAUAAGACUCAGAACAGAAUAUAUAUAUAUAUAUGUAAGUUUUUAUUAAUCUAAUGAUAAGUGAUUUUACCGAUUUCAAGAUCAUGCCAUGGAUGAGCAGCAACCGAUCUCCUUGAUAAAGAUGAGAGUAUUCUCUCGUUCAAACGUGGAGCUGUUCUCUGAAGCUUGUCAAAUUGAUUCUCUUUCACUUCUUCACUCAUCUAACAAACAGAGCAAUUCAAGAAAACAAACCAAAUGUUUAGAUUCAAUGACUUGUGACUUCUUGAAUUCACGUCUAAAUCAGGAUAUGUUGCUUAACUAUUGAUUUCAUAUUAAAUAGGAUCCAUUACUCAAAAGAUUGACCACUCAAAGUCAUAUUCUACUACAACUAAUCAACAAAACCCUACAACAUAUCGUAAUCCAUCAAUCAUCUUCAACCUAAGAUAAUCUAGAGCGUCAAAACAUCAAAAGAUUGAGAUCUAAGAAGCAAAAAAGAAGAACCAAAGAAAGUCUUCGUACCUUGGAACAACAGAUGUUUCAAGAACAGAACAGUCUUGCGGAAAGUAUGGAGAAAGCCAACUAACGAGGCAAAGAAAACAGUAAAGCGCGUGGUCUGCAAUUGCGAGCUAUAACCUUAUUUAUAGAAAGCGAGAAACACGGGUUUAGUUGUUUAACUGAUUAAUUAAUCAAGACUAGUAAUCACCGUUCGAUCUCUCAAAACUAGGGGCCCACCGUGAAACACUAAUCUUAGUCUCUUGAACGAUUCUCCAACACACACGUCUCACUCCCUCUUUAACUAUAUAAACUCAAGUGACAAACCACAAAAGAAAAGCAAGAAAACAAAACGCUUUUUUUUGUAGCAAAAUGGCUAUCAAUAGAAUUGCGAUUGGAACGCCAGGAGAAGCUAGCGGUCGAGAUGCGAUCAGAGCGGCUUUUGCUGAGUUUUUCUCCAUGGUUAUAUUCGUUUUCGCCGGUCAAGGCUCCGGCAUGGCUUACGGAAAGCUAACUGGAGACGGUCCAGCCACACCUUCUGGUCUAGUGGCCGCGUCUUUGUCUCAUGCGUUUGCAUUGUUCGUGGCGGUUUCCGUUGGAGCAAACGUUUCAGGCGGCCACGUGAAUCCCGCGGUUACGUUUGGAGCUUUUAUAGGUGGGAACAUCACGUUGUUGAGAGCUAUUCUUUAUUGGAUUGCUCAGUUACUUGGAGCAGUAGUAGCUUGCUUGUUGCUCAAGGUAAGUACUGGAGGGAUGGAAACGGCAGCGUUUUCGCUCUCUCAUGGAGUCACACCGUGGAACGCAGUCGUUUUCGAGAUUGUGAUGACGUUUGGGUUGGUUUACACUGUUUACGCUACUGCCGUGGAUCCCAAGAAAGGUGAUAUUGGAAUCAUUGCUCCUUUAGCGAUUGGGUUAAUCGUUGGAGCUAAUAUUCUCGUUGGUGGUGCGUUUGAUGGUGCGUCGAUGAACCCGGCCGUUUCGUUCGGUCCUGCCGUGGUUAGCUGGACCUGGACGAACCAUUGGGUCUAUUGGGUCGGUCCAUUUAUUGGUGCAGCCAUUGCAGCUAUUGUUUAUGACACUAUCUUUAUUGAUAGUAAUGGACAUGAACCACUUCCUUCUAGUGAUUUCUAAGUUAGGGUUUUUUCUGAUUUCUUCAAAAACAAGAAAGCUGAUGUUGUACUGAUGAGAGAGGUGUAUGUUUUUAACUCUGAUGCGUGUUUUUUUAUUAUGUUUGUAGCAUGUGGCUAAAGAUGUUACUUUUUACUACUUUGUGUUUCUUUAAGUGAUUAAUAAAUAAAAUAUUGGAAUUCCCAUAUACUAUUUAAAUUGGAUUGGAUUAAUGUGCGCGGGGUUUACGUAGUAUCAGUUCACACGUAAGAAAUCAUGUGCAGCGAAAUUGAUUGGAGAGUAUAUUCUUGAGAUAAUGCUCCCAUGGUGACAACAAAUAAAAUAUAAUAGGACCCGCCAUUAUAAUACAAUUGAGAAUAUAUUAUGGAUAAUGGAUGGUUGGUUCGUCCAUGCACGUUCUAUGUGUGAAUCUUAGCUAAUGAUGUUUUUAGUGGAUAUAGGAAUUGUUUACACAAAAAAAAAUAUUCAAACAAAAAAAACUAAAUGUGCACAAGAACAAGAAAAAAAAUAUGAUGUCUAAGAAUUGUUCAGUCAAUUAGCUAGAGACUAUCACAAGAUUAUUGCUUCAGCAGUAAAUAAUUUACGUUUAGUGAAAAUGAGAAGCCUUCAAAAACAUUGUUUGAAAAUAACAAAUUGGAAUAUGAAUAUAUGUGACUAAUUGCAUUCGUAUGAACGUAUAUCGUCGGUGUCCCGGUUUUUCCAACGCGUUUGGAGUUGCAUGCACGUUCAACCAAAGUGCGAUGACCUGAUUUAGUUCUUAAUCCGUCAAUAAUUAUGAGUACUAUUGUUUAUUCAUCGUGGAUUUAUAGAGAGAUAUAUUAAUGGUCGUACGUAGGAUAGGAUAUACCAUGAUUAUCAUAUCAUUAUAUCAUACUCAAUAUUUUAUAUAAAAAAUCAGAAGUCGGAUCGAUAACGAACUAUAAUAUUGUUGUAUAUUACUCCUAUUUGUUCAUAUCAUUCGAUCGAUGAGCUAAAAGUCUACAUAAGAAAGUUAUCAUUAUAAUACGAAUUUUCAUUUAUUUAACUAUUGUUCAAUUAAUUAUACAUACCGUCACAAGAUAUUUUAACUAAAUUAAAUCUCAACAUACUGUGUAAUCACGUGCGUUAAUCAAAUAGAUCAUCGUAUGUUGUAUUUUAUCAUGGCUCUGUUAGCUAUACUUUCUUGUCAUGUACGAACGAUUGACGCCAAAAAAAGUUCAAUUUUCUGAAGAAGAAUUUCCUAAUAUUCGUCAAAAAGUCAUUACUGUUGAAUAAUAGUAACUGAGAUAAAAGGUUUAUAAGUAUUAUUAUAUAUCUUUAUUUCUGAGUAAUAAAGAGAGAGAGAUGGACGUGAGAUGUGAGUGAGAGAGAGAGUUAUAUCAUUGACUUUUUCAUUUCAUAUAUCUGAUACAAUUGCACAUCACACUCCUAUUUAUAGCAUGAGUAAGUCGGUCUUGUUCAGAUAUUUUACAAAAGGAAAUAUGUGAUGUAGACACAUGUAUAGUGAUACUAAUCACAUACGUUUGAUGGAAGUGAGACAAGUGUUUUCAUGAUGAAUAAUCAUCUUUUGCAAUAAUUACAAUAGUUUAUAUGACGAAUUACUUUUCUUUUUGGUCGGUAUCGAAUCACAAACUCGUCUAAACCCUAUAGUAUAUUAAAUGAAAUAUAAACAAAGUUGAUCAAAAUCUCGAAUCCAUUAGUGGGCUGUAAAGGCUCUAUAAGAAGCCUCUCGCAUUCACAAAUAUGACCCUCGGGGCCUACUAAAAGUAAAGCACAGGAAUCUUUACUAAGAUAGAAAACACCACGCGUCGCUUAAAAAUGAAACAUACACUCGCUCGUUAAUUUCACAUGGGGGGCGUGCCAUGCAGAACGUUCGGCUCAUCUAAGCUGGGUUUAGGCCCUCUAUCUGUAGCUUCACUGGGCUUUAACCUUCUUUAAUAUGACUUUCUAUAGAGCCCAAAAAGAAUAGUACACAUCAUUCAGUAAUUAUUUUCUUUUUAUUUCGGAAAAUUAUCUGUACUUUACCAAUGGUUUGACUUUGACUAUAAAAUUUGGAAGAGAUCUAGGGUUGUUGCCAGUGGAUGAUGUCAGACGUCUGAUCUUGUCUUGCACACAAUAUUUCAAUAAUGUGUAAUUGCUGUCGGUAUAAUAUGUUUUGGGUUGAUAUUAUUAUUCAAGUAUUUUGUCAUUUUAUUAGUUUUCUGAAUAGGUUUCCCGCUUCUGUAAAUUUUAUUUUCAAAAUAGAUGAUUAAAAUACUGAAAAAGUAAUGUGCAGUAGUAGUAAGUAGGCUGAAGUUUACGUUUUAGAUAGAAGUGAGACGGAUGUGUCAAUGAGACUUAGCUCUGACCAUAGAGACGGAUGUGCCAAUGAGACUUCGCUCUAACCAUAGACUCCACUUUAUGAUACUUUCGAAACAUUGGAAUAGUAAAUUUUUUCUUUUUCCUCUGCUACAAAAUCUGAGAUUUGCAGAGCAAAAAAUUUGGCAGGAAUGUUCUUGUUUUAUCUCCUCAGGGUGUGAAGAAUGUACUCAGCGUAAAGGUCCCUAUAAAUAAUUUUAAAACCAAGAUUAUUUUUAUGUCAACAUAUUUGUUAAUAAAAAUAAUUGAAAUUUCUAAAUAAAAAACGUUACAUUGAGUACUGAAUGGCUUCAACGGCAGGACCAUUCGGUAGAAAAUCAUUUACAGCGACUUCCUUGUUCUCAUUCUUCUUGUCUGUUAAUUUUUUUGUUAAAGGUAACCGCAAAAUCAAUGGUUUAUUUAUUUACUAAUGAAGAAGAAAAUUAAGAUUUAAAUAUUGAAGAAAUAAAGGAUACAAUCUUCAAAGAAUCGCCGGAUUUCUGAGAGACGAUGAGGUGGAAGUUCUUUGAUGUCAGUGUAAUGCUUAUACUCAGGAUCAUCAACACAAACCGCAAUGAUCUUGUCAUCUUUUUCUCCCUUUAUUACAAGACAAUUACUCAGAAUGCUUACA
rnacentral:lncRNA from 1 species